GCCUGAUGUCACUAUCAGUUUGUAGAAAUCUUAGAAGACCGGGACAAAUGUACCUAUUGUCAUCUGGUCCUUCAUAAUCCUCAUCAAACAGGAUGUGGGCACAGAUUCUGCCUGCGCUGCUAGUCUCUUUGAGAGAAUUGAAUGUUAUGCCUACCUGUCCUCUAGACAACGAAAUAAUAAAACUUCAUGAGGUUUUCAGGGACAAUUGCUGUAAUAGGGAAGUUCUCAAUUUGCAAGUAUACUGCAGAAAUUCACCAGCUUGCAAUGUGAAAUCAUCUCUGGGGCGAUACCAGGAUCAUCUACAACAGUGUUCAUUUGAAAGUGUGCAAUGCACCAAUGAAGGAUGUUGUGAAAAAGUUCUUCAGAAAGAUUUGAAAGAACACCUAGGUUUGCUUUGUAAAUAUCGAAAGGAACUGUGCCAGUACUGUAAUCAGUCUGUGACUUCAGUUAAUUUAAAGACCCAUGAAAGAACAGGUUGUCCUGACUAUCCAUUGAUUUGUCCCCAUGGCUGCAUGCAGAUAAUUCUGACGAAAGAGGUAGAAGAACAUUUCGUGGUGUGUUGUGAAGUAGAUAUCGAUUGUCCAUAUAAACAGUAUGGCUGUCCUACCAAGGUGCUGUAUCACAGCUAAACGCAAUAAUAGAAACCAACACACAAAAUUGUCUUUUCUAUCCUGUCUUGCCUAGUCUAACCAUAUAACAUGAUUCAUCAGUUUCAUUUAUAAUGCAUCACACUUGCUUUGUGGAAAUUGAUUGUCCAUACAAGAACUAUGGCUGUCUUAUAAAGAUUAAAAGGGGAAAGCUUUCAGAACAUGAGAAUAUCUAUUUGAGAGAUCAUAUGUUACAAAUAUUAGAGAGGAACUUACAGCUUGAAGAUCAG